rnacentral:rRNA from 1 species
GAUGAACGCUAGCGGCAGGCCUAACACAUGCAAGUCGAGGGAGAAGCCCUUUCGGGGGCAGAUACCGGCGCACGGGUGCGUAACGCUUCUGCAACCUACCUUUCACAGGGGGAUAGCCCGAAGAACUUUGGAUUAAUACCCCAUAAUCUUAUUGGAUGGCAUCAUUUGAUAAUUAAAACUGCGGUGGUGCAAGAUGGGCAUGCGUCCUAUUAGCUAGUUGGAGUGGUAACGGCACCCCAAGGCUACGAUAGGUAGGGGUCCUGAGAGGGAGAUCCCCCACACUGGUACUGAGACAGGGACCAGACUCCUACGGGAGGCAGCAGUGAGGAAUAUUGGUCAAUGGUCGGAAGACUGAACCAGCCAUGCCGCGUGCAGGAAGAAUGCCUUAUGGGUUGUAAACUGCUGUUAUAUGGGAAGAAUAAGGUGUACGUGUACAUGGAUGACGGUACCAUAUGAAUAAGCUUCGGCUAACUCCGUG